rnacentral:rRNA from 1 species
GGCGCACGGGUGAGUAACACGUAAGUAAUCUACCUUUGAGUGGGGAAUAACGUUCGGAAACGAACGCUAAUACCGCAUAAUGCAGCGGCACCGCAAGGUGACAGUUGUUAAAGGAGCAAUCCGCUUGAGGAGGAGCUUGCGGCAGAUUAGCUAGUUGGUAAGGUAAUGGCUUACCAAGGCUACGAUCUGUAACCGGUCUUAGAGGACGGUCGGUCACACUGACACUGAAUAACGGGUCAGACUCCUACGGGAGGCAGCAGUCGGGAAUUUUGGGCAAUGGGCGAAAGCCUGACCCAGCAACGCCGCGUGAAGGAUGAAGUAUUUCGGUAUGUAAACUUCGAAAGAAUAGGAAGAAUAAAUGACGGUACUAUUUAUAAGGUCCGGCUAACUACGUGCCAGCAGCCGCGGUAAUACGCAGGGACCAAGCGUUGUUCGGAUUUACUGGGCGUAAAGGGCGCGUAGGCGGCUCUGUAAGUCACUUGUGAAAUCUCUGAGCUUAAC